GAGGCCGCGGCGCAGCGCCCUCGGCCCGGCCGGCCCACCCGCCCCCGGGGACCGCCGUCCCUGCCAGGCGCUGGGAUCCCGACGCCGGUGUCUCGGGGGCCGGCGAGUCGGGGUGCGGCUGCCCAGGGGGGGCCUGGCUCCCGGCUCCGAGCUCGCCUGUAUCUUCCCGGGGCCGAUCUUGUUCUCAACGACUCUGGGUGUCGGCGACCCUUCUGGCCAGCCCACUCUUCUCGCCGUGAGGUUCAGGGUGUCGGAGGGCCAGACACUGGUUUCAGGCAAUUAAGAGUACACUCCAUUGCUUUUUCACAACAACUUUAUUGUGGGGAUGGAAGAGAAUUCUAUACCAGCGGGGACUGGCAGGUCAGAAAUGUGAUCUGAUAAGCUGAAAAGUACCGCCACCAAACUGGGCAUCUCUAGACGCAAAUACAAAGAGAGUAAAGAGAUGGACGUCGGAACCAGCACUGUGACAAGUUCAGCAGUGUGUAUACAUCAAUCCUGGGAGAAGGCAAUGGCACCCUACUCCAGUACUGUUGCCCGGAAAAUUCCAUGGAUGGAAGAGCCUGGUAGGCUGCAGUCCAUGAGGUCACCAAGAGUCGGACACGACUGAGCGACUUCACUUUCACUUUCCACUUUCAUGCAUUGGAGAAGGAAAUGGCAAC
ensembl:lncRNA